CUUCAGUGCGUACCCUGCUGUGAUUGGAGCAGCCAUUGGAGGGAUGCUCAUGGCUGCCAUAGCAACCGUUCUGCUGUUCAUGUACAUCAUCCACAACCGCAACAACAACCCCCGACUCCAUGACAUGCUGUUUGGAAUGCAGCACAGCCAGUCCAGGGAGAACAUCAACUUCCCUGAUGAUGAGGUGAUGGGAGGAGUUGAGGGAGAGGGAGGAGCCUCAGAACAUUUCCCCUCCCCUA